rnacentral:rRNA from 1 species
GAUGAACGCUAGCUACAGGCUUAACACAUGCAAGUCGAGCGACCGGCGCACGGGUGAGUUACACGUAUCUAACCUGCCCAUCACUCGGGGAUAGCCUUUCGAAAGAUCGAAUAAUACCCGAUAAAAAGUAUGGGGAUGCGGUGAAUUAGGUUGUUGGUGAGGUAACAGCUAGCGAAGCCUUCGAUGGUUAGGGGUUCUGAGAGGAAGCUACACCACAUUGGAACUGAGACACGGACCAAACUGCUAGGAGGGGCAGAAGUAAGUAGCAUAGGUGGAGUGGCGCUAGCCUGAACAAGCCAAGUAGAGUGAAGGAUGAAGGGUUAUGGAACGUCAACUUCUUGUAUAUAAGAAUAGGUAUUAUAUGAAUAAGGAUCGGCUAACUCCGUGCCAGCAGCCGCGGUAAUAC